GACGAACGCUGGCGGCGUGCUUAACACAUGCGAGUCGAACGGAAAGGCCCCUUUGGGGGUACUCGAGUGGCGAACGGGUGAGUAACACGUGAGUAACCUGCCCUUGACUUCGGGAUAACUUCAGGAAACUGGGGCUAAUACCGGAUAGGAAUCCUUGCUGCAUGGUGGGGGUUGGAAAGCUUCGGCGGUUUUGGAUGGACUCGCGGCUUAUCAGCUUGUUGGUGGGGUAGUGGCUUACCAAGGCUUUGACGGGUAGCCGGCCUGAGAGGGCGACCGGCCACAUUGGGACUGAGAUACGGCCCAGACUCCUACGGGAGGCAGCAGUGGGGAAUAUUGCACAAUGGGCGGAAGCCUGAUGCAGCAACGCCGCGUGCGGGAGGACGGCCUUCGGGUUGUAAACCGCUUUCAGCAGGGGCGAAGCUUGUGGUGACGGUACCUGCAGAAGAAGCACCGGCUAACUACGUG
rnacentral:rRNA from 1 species